GAGUUUGAUUCUGGCUCAGGAUUAACGCUGGCGGCAUGCCUAACACAUGCAAGUCGAACGGAGAUAGCAAUAUCUUAGUGGCGAACGGGUGAGUAACGCGUGAGUAAUCUGCCCUGCAUUACGGGAUAACACAAAGAAAUUUGUGCUAAUACGGUAUGAAACAUAGCAUCGCAUGAUGCAAUGUUAAAAGAUUUAUCGAUGCAGGAUGAGCUCGCGUCCCAUUAGCUAGUUGGUGAGAUAACAGCCCACCAAGGCAACGAUGGGUAGCCGGUCUGAGAGGAUGAACGGCCACAUUGGGACUGAGACACGGCCCAGACUCCUACGGGAGGCAGCAGUGGGGAAUAUUGGGCAAUGGAGGAAACUCUGACCCAGCAAUGCCGCGUGAAUGAUGAAGGUCUUUUGAUUGUAAAGUUCUUUAGUUUCGAAGGAAUAAAUGACCUAGAAAAGAAUAAGCCCCGGCUAAAUACGUGCCAGCAGCCGCGGUAAUACGUAUGGGGCAAGCGUUAUCCGGAAUGACUGGGUGUAAAGGGUGUGUAGGCGGUUUAGUAAGUUGGGAGUGAAAUACCUAGGGCUUAACCCAGGUGCUGCUUUCAAAACUGCUAGACUUGAGUGUAGGAGAGGAAAGUGGAAUUCCUAGUGUAGCGGUGGAAUGCGUAGAUAUUAGGAGGAACAUCAGUGGCGAAGGCGACUUUCUGGACUAUAACUGACGCUGAGGCACGAAAGUGUGGGGAGCAAACAGGAUUAGAUACCCUGGUAGUCCACACUGUAAACGAUGGAUACUAGAUGUAGGGAGCAUCAACUCUCUCUGCGUCGUAGCUAACGCAAUAAGUAUCCCACCUGGGGAGUACGGCCGCAAGGUUGAAACUCAAAGAAAUUGGCGGGGACCCGCACAAGCAGCGGAGCAUGUGGUUUAAUUCGAAGCAACGCGAAGAACCUUACCAAGAUUUGACAUCGUAUGCAAUCUGUAGAAACACAGAGUUCCUUCGGGACGUAUAGACAGGUGGUGCAUGGUUGUCGUCAGCUCGUGUCGUGAGAUGUUGGGUUAAGUCCCGCAACGAGCGCAACCCUUAUGAUUAGUUGCCAAUAUUAAGUUAGGAACUCUAGUCAGACUGCCGCGGUUAACGCGGAGGAAGGUGGGGAUGACGUCAAAUCAUCAUGCCCCUUACAUCUUGGGCUACACACGUGCUACAAUGGCUAUUACAAAGAGCUGCGAGCUGGUAACAGUAAGCGAAUCUCAAAAAGAUAGUCUCAGUUCGGAUUGUGGGCUGCAACCCGCCCACAUGAAGUCGGAGUUGCUAGUAAUCCCGAAUCAGAAUGUCGGGGUGAAUGCGUUCCCGGGUCUUGCACACACCGCCCGUCACGCCAUGGGAGUGGGGAGUACCCAAAGUCGAUGAGCUAACCCGCAAGGGAGGCAGUCGCCUAAGGUAAGACUCAUGACUGGGGUGAAGUCGUAACAAGGUA
rnacentral:rRNA from 1 species